AAAAAAAAACCCAGCUCUAAGCCAGGAGGAGAGUCCUGAUCAGAUCUUAACCGCACUGGUACCCUGAUCUUGGACUUCCAGCUUCCAGAUGUGUGAGACAUAAAUGUCUGUUGUUUAAGGCCCCCAAUCUGCGGGAUUUUGCUACAGUAGACUGAGAUGACUAAUACACAGAGGGUUGGGGUGGAGCAGAUAAUUUAGCAAGAAGAACUGGAAUGGAGCAAUUGGAUUUAAGGAACUAUGAUAACAUCCAGACCUGAUGUGCACUGUGAGAUUGCCGACAUUGAGCAGAUGCUAUUGCAGGAUCGCUUGCCCUGGGAGAAGCCAGUAGCCCUCUGAAGAGGCCCAUGUGGUGAAGAACCAAGGCUGCUGGCCAAAGUCAGCAAGGAAUGGAGGCUUUCUUCCAGCAGAGAAAACAAGAUGCCUGGGCCAUCUUGGAUGCAGAUCCUCCGGCUCCAUCCAGUUUCAGAUGACCGCGGUCUGGCCAGCAUCUGGAUGGUAACCUAGAGACCCUGAGCCAGAGCCACCCAGAUAAGCCACUCCCAGAUUCCUGACUCUCACACUAAAAUUUUUAAAGUCACUAUGUGUAUUAACCAUUUGUAUUAAGAUGUUUUGAUUUUCAGGGGCUCCAAAA